UUGGACGCAAAGCAAGCGGGAGGCUCUUGAGCCAUCUCAGUGAUGUUGAGGACACUGAGGAAGACUAGUCCUAAAUCAGGUGAAAACAAGUUUGUGCAAAGUUUCAGCUUCCCAGCACACAAUGGAGCGGAGUGGGAUGAGGAAAAGGAUGAUUCCAUUUCAAAAGGAGCAAUGCAAUUUCCAAAGGAGCAAUGGCCUAUCCAAAGGAGCAAUGGCCUAUCCGAAGGAGCAAUGGCCUAUCCGAAGGAGCAAUGGCCUAUCCGAAGGAGCAAUGGCCUAUCCGAAGGAGCAAUGGCCUAUCCGAAGGAGCAAUGGCCUAUCCGAAGGAGCAAUGCCCUAUCCGAAGGAGCAAUGGCCUAUCCGAAGGAGCAAUGCCCUAUCCGAAGGAGCAAUGCCCUAUCCGAAGGAGCAAUGCCCUAUCCGAAGGAGCAAUGCCCUAUCCGAAGGAGCAAUGCCCUAUCCAAAGGAGCAAUGGCCUAUCCAAAGGAGCAAUGCCAUGCCAAGUCAAGAAUGAAGCAGCAUGCUGCAAAAGUCGCCAUGUGUGCGGAUCAUGUGCCCAGGAGGGGGCAGUGUGGUUGCCUUUGGUUAUGGGUGCACGACGGAAAGGUUGCAGGUGUGGACAGGUGGGGUGUUGGGGUCUGAUGGUUGGUCUUGCUUAAGAGGUGUGCUGUGGUUAAGGUUGUGGCUUGUCUGGAUCCAGCGUUUCUUGUGCUUGGUUGCCAUUGACGGCUCACUUGGGGGAGGAUGUGGUCACGUGGAUGGACGCAAACUAAACUUUGACGUGGAUCCGAAGGUCCAAUUUUGCCAUGACUUGUAACAUUUUGUCUUUUUCUAACCUGCCACUGUUGUACUUGCUGCGUUCUUUGUUCCCCCCCCUCGUUGUAGGGCGGCGUUGGAGCGAGCCGGUCCCGAAUGUCCAAUUUUCCAAUGUGACUUGUGACAUUUUUGUAUUUUUCUAACCUACCACUGUCGUACUUCAUUUAACCCUAACCUACCACUGUGGUACUAGUGUUCUUUGUUCUCCCCUCGUUGUAGGGCGGCGUUGGAGCGAGCC